UCCAGGGUAGCCUAGUGGUCAUGGCAUCUGUCCGGUAAGCGGAACACUGUGGGUUCGAUUCCCAUCCCUGGAC